UUCUAACCGUAAACGAUGCCAACUAGCGAUCUGUGGGGGUUAAAUUGAUGACUCUACAGGAAGCUUCCGGGAAACCAUCAGUGUUUGGGUUCCGGGGGAAGUAUGGUUGCAAAGCUGAAACUUAAAGGAAUUGACGGAAGGGCACCACCAGGAGUGGAGCCUGCGGCUUAAUUUGACUCAACGCGGGGAAACUCACCCGGCCCGGACACCGUAAGGAUUGACAGAUUGAGAGCUCUUUCUUGAUUCGGUGGGUGGUGGUGCAUGGCCGUUCUUAGUUGGUGGAGCGAUUUGUCUGGUUAAUUCCGAUAACGAACGAGACUCUAGCCUACUAAAUAGUGGUUGUAUGAUUGUAUAGUUCAACGUACUUCUUAGAGGGACAAGGGGUAUCUAGCCCCACGAGAUUGAGCAAUAACAGGUCUGUGAUGCCCUUAGAUGUCCGGGGCUGCACGCGCGCUACACUGAAGGAGUCAACGUGCAUAAUUUGCCUUGUCUGGAAAGAUUGGGUAACCUCGUGAAACUCCUUCGUGAUUGGGAUAGGGAAUUGUAAUUAUUUCCCUUGAACGAGGAAUUCCUAGUAAGUGCGGGUCAUCAUCUCGCGUUG
rnacentral:rRNA from 1 species